AAAAGUCGUAACAAGGUCUCCGUUGGUGAACCAGUGGAGGGAUCAUU
rnacentral:rRNA from 1 species